UCCCCAAGCUACUAGACUACUUGUGUCAGCGGGGGGAAAGCUGUUAGGAACCGGCGCAAACAUAAAUGAAGGAGAGUGCGUGAAGUAUCCUAAAAAAGAUUCACCACAUCAUUAAAACCAUCAACGAGAGCCUUCUCAUGGCCAACGUCAUAAUAAGAGUUGACAUGGAAGAGUAGGCUGCAUAUUCCCACCGAAAGGGAAUAAACUGAUAGGCAAGAAGAGACGCAAGCACUUAUCAGUUGAGACUGUACAAGAUGGCAGCCAGUCGUCACAAAGCAAGGUCUGCAGCGCGGGCAAAUGUUACUCACUAAUAUGGAGCUUACGGUGUUGAUCGCUAUUAUUGCCGCCCAUUCACUACUUUGUGCAGUUGCAACAGUUGUUCAUGUACCAGUGCUUCUAGAUGGCAGAGGGGUUCCCACUUUUUGGAGAGCCAGUUGGGUUCAGGAUGGAGCGCUGCUUUUAGAGUGAAGAACGCUGCUCCUCCAGUACUCUGUGAAUGUCCGCGUGAUGCAAAGGACAACUACCGAAAAGUCGGGGAUGAAGAAAGAACGGAGGUGCACUUUAAAGGCACAACUUUGUCUGUGAAAAUUCUGUGUCGCUUCUGUGUCACUGGAUCAUUAGUGGUUCAUACGCAGUUCUCGAGCAAUGAUGUGGCACCACUAUAAAAAAUUUACUGAAUAAUAAAAGCCUUUAAACUUAA